GAUGAACGCUAGCUACAGGCUUAACACAUGCAAGUCGAGGGGCAGCAUGGUCUUAGCUUGCUAAGGCCGAUGGCGACCGGCGCACGGGUGAGUAACACGUAUCCAACCUGCCGUCUACUCUUGGACAGCCUUCUGAAAGGAAGAUUAAUACAAGAUGGCAUCGUGAGUCCGCAUGUUCACAUGAUUAAAGGUAUUCCGGUAGACGAUGGGGAUGCGUUCCAUUAGAUAGUAGGCGGGGUAACGGCCCACCUAGUCUUCGAUGGAUAGGGGUUCUGAGAGGAAGGGUCCCCCACAUUGGAACUGAGACACGGGUCCAAACUCCUACGGGAGGCAGCAGUGGGGGAUAUUGCACAAUGGGCGAAAGCCUGAUGCAGCAACGCCGCGUGAGGGAAGACGGUUUUUCGGAUUGUAAACCUCUGUUCUAAGUGACG
rnacentral:rRNA from 1 species